UGUCCGUAUCUUUGACAUUUAUAGCACCUGAGGGGUGGUGGCACAUAUGGUCUAACAGGAAAGCUCAUGCAACCUAUUUUAACUCUGUCCGGCAGGACUGCCUCCUGGAAUUCCAAUAGAACCGACAGGCUACUCACCCUCUCCCCAUUAAUCGUUUUUAGCAGUCUUUGUACUUUGCUGACCUCACCACCAUUAAUACAUCGCUUGAGCUUCUCCAGGUCCUCUUCUACAGGGAUACCCGUAAUCACCCCCCGUGUCACUUUGUUGUCUCCUAAGAUCCUUGACACUAACCACAAAGCCAAAGCAUGUAAUUGCAUCAUCAGGUCUGCAGCAGUAUGUUCUGGACACUCUGGUGAAGAGAGGAGCUGAGCUGUCAUCUGAUCACCAUCUGGGGCUCUGUGGACUUGAGUUACCUGAAACCUGAAGGAUUCUCUCAUUGUCUGCUGUUUGGAAAGGACUUACUUGUAACAGAGCUGGAAAACUCACCUGGAAAACUCACCUGCCCAUCCACUCUCCACCCACUCAGCCUUCUGAAACCUUCACUUACCUCCCUGACACAGAAACUCUAAAAGUGAAACACAAGAAAGGACUCUAAUAAAUACUAUAUAAGCAAUUCUGACUGCAUUGAUACGCAGCAGUUGUUCUCUCGGGCAGUUCUCUGGUGUCUCCCUGCUCUGUCCCUCUGCAGGAAACCUACUUACCUGCCCCUCUGUCUUUGAACCUUCUCAAAAUAAAAGCAUGUAAAGCUUUAGCCUCAUGUGGGCUGCUUUAGAGUCGAUGCAU